rnacentral:rRNA from 1 species
UACAUAGGGUGCAAGCGUUAAUCGGAAUUACUGGGCGUAAAGCGUGCGCAGGCGGUUUUGUAAGUCUGUCGUGAAAGCCCCGGGCUCAACCUGGGAAUUGCGAUGGAGACUGCAAGGCUUGAAUCUGGCAGAGGGGGGUAGAAUUCCACGUGUAGCAGUGAAAUGCGUAGAGAUGUGGAGGAACACCGAUGGCGAAGGCAGCCCCCUGGGUCAAGAUUGACGCUCAUGCACGAAAGCGUGGGGAGCAAACAGG